rnacentral:rRNA from 1 species
CACGUAGGGCGCGAGCGUUGUCCGGAAUUAUUGGGCGUAAAGGGCGCGUAGGCGGCUGAACAAGUCAAAGGUGAAAUCCCUCGGCUCAACUGAGGAACUGCCUUUGAAACUGUUCGGCUUGAGGCCGGGAGGGGGUAGCGGAAUUCCCAGUGUAGCGGUGAAAUGCGUAGAUAUCAGGAGGAACACCGGUGGCGAAGGCGGUUCUCUGGGCAUUACCUGACGCUGAGGAGCGAAAGUGUGGGGAGCGAACAGG